rnacentral:rRNA from 1 species
AUUGAACGCUAGCGGCAUGCCUAACACAUGCAAGUCGAACGGAGUGGCUAACGGGUGAGUAAUGUAUCGGUACGUGCCCAGUAGCGGGGGGUAACUACGCGAAAGCGUAGCUAAUACCGCAUACUAUUGGCGCGGCUGUUAUCGGAUUAGGUGGUUGGUGGGGUAACGGCUCACAAAGGCGCCGAUCAGUAGCUGGUUUGAGAGGACGACCAGCCACACUGGAACUAGGACACGGCCCAGACUCCUACGGGAGGCAGCAGUGGGGAAUUUUGGACAAUGGGGGAAACCCUGAUCCAGCCAUCCCGCGUGUGCGAUGAAGGCCUUCGGGUUGUAAAGCAUUUUUGGCAGGAAAGCGGUACCUACAGAAUAAGCACCGGCUAACUACGUGCCAGCAGCCGCGGUAAUUC